CGAAAGCCUGACGGAGCAAUACCGCGUGAGGGAGGAAGGCUUUUGGGUUGUAAACCUCUUUUAUCAGGGAAGAAAAAAAUGACGGUACCUGAAGAAAAAGCAUCGGCUAACUCCGUGCCAGCAGCCGCGGUAAGACGGAGGAUGCAAGCGUUAUCCGGAAUUAUUGGGCGUAAAGCGUCCGCAGGUGGCUGUUCAAGUCUGCAGUCAAAGACUGGAGCUUAACUCCGGGAAGGCAGUGGAAACUGAACAGCUAGAGUCCGGUAGGGGUAGAGGGAAUUCCCAGUGUAGCGGUGAAAUGCGUAAAGAUUGGGAAGAACACCAGUGGCGAAGGCGCUCUACUGGGCCGGAACUGACACUCAGGGACGAAAGCUAGGGGAGCG
rnacentral:rRNA from 1 species